ACCUCUAUGAUUGUCAAUGCUGCAAAAAGGUAGAAAUGAGAGUGUUUGCAGUACCUCUUCUUUUCGCUUGUUGUUUGGCCAUCAGUGACCACGUUGAAGCUCUCUUUCCUUUUCAAAACACGUCACUCUCAAUCGAAGACAGAGUUAAGGAUAUCGUUGAUAAUCUUACUUUGGAAGAGCUAGUGGAACAAAUGGCACAUGGUGGUGCUACUUUAAAUGGUCCAGCUCCAGGGAUUCCACGACUACAUAUAAACCCUUACCAGUGGGGUACUGAGUGUCUCUCUGGAAAUGUUAGUGCUGGAGAUGCAACAUCCUUUCCAAUGCCUAUAGGAAUGGCUGCUAGUUUCAAUUACGAUUUAUUGAAACGAGUUACUAAUGCAACUGCUUAUGAAGUGAGAGCUAAACAUGCUGCAGCUGUCAAGGAUGGAUCCUAUGCUUUUCAUACUGGACUGAGCUGCUGGAGUCCUGUUUUGAACAUAAUGCGAGAUCCACGUUGGGGAAGGAAUCAAGAAACUUAUGGAGAGGAUCCUUAUUUAUCAGGCUAUUUGGGACAAGCUUAUGUCAAUGGAUUACAAGGAAAUAAUUCAAGAUACAUCAUAGCUAAUGCUGGCUGCAAACACUUUGACGUUCAUGGAGGACCAGAGAAUAUUCCAACAUCUCGAUUUUCAUUCGAUGCAAAAGUGUCAAUGAGGGACUGGCGUAUGACGUUCCUUCCUCAGUUCAAGGCCUGUGUUGAAGCUGGUGCUCUUAGUUUAAUGUGCAGUUAUAAUAGGAUAAAUGGAGUCCCUGCUUGUGCUAAUAAAGCAUUGCUUACUGAUAUUCUACGAAAUGAAUGGGAUUUUAAAGGUUACGUUGUUAGUGAUCAAGGAGCUCUAGAGUUUAUUGUUAUUGAGCAUCAUUAUGCUCCUGAUUUCAUGAAGGCUGCGGCUGAUGCUGCAAAUGCAGGUACUUGCCUUGAAGAUGGCAAUAUUGGACGUAAAUUUUUCAAUGUUUUUGAGCACCUAGUUGAUGCUGUUAAAAAUAAUCUUGUUAGCGUUGAUACUCUUAAAAAUGCUGUGAGUAGGCUGUUCUAUGUUCGUAUGAAAUUAGGGGAAUUUGACCCACCUGACAAUAAUCCUUAUGCAAAUAUCCCUCUCUCUGUUAUACAGAGUGAUGCUCAUAUUAAUUUAUCUCUUCAAGCUGCAAUGGAGAGUAUUGUCCUUAUGAAGAAUGAUGAUGGUUUUAGGUCGCCUUUUCUACCUAUUACUAAUGAAGUCAAGAAAGCUUGUAUGGUUGGUCCAUUCAGUGAUGAUCCUGAGGUUUUAUUUGGUGAUUAUUCACCAACAUUAAUGCGUGAUUAUGUGAUCACUUCAUUGGCUGGUCUAAAGAAUGCUAACAUUGGUACUGAUACUCUAAACUAUGCAGUUGGCUGUGAAGACGGUCCUGCUUGUAGAAAUUAUGAUAGUGCAAAGGUUCGUUCAGCCUGUGAUGGUGUUGAGCUAAUCAUUGUCACUGCUGGCUUAAGUAAGCACUUGGAGAGUGAAGGAAAGGAUUUAUCAGAUAUCAAUCUACCAGGGCAUCAACUGGACUUGAUGCAAGAUGCUGAAGCAGCAAGUAAAAAUGCUUCUGUUAUUCUUAUACUGUUUAAUGCCAGCCCACUUGAUAUUAGAUAUGCUAAAACUGAUCCUCGUAUUGUUGGUAUACUUGAAGCUUAUUACCCUGGACAGACAGCUGGUAAAGCGAUAGCUAAUGUUCUCACUGUCUUGAUCAAGUACCUGGUAUUACCAAUUACACUAUGAAGGAAAGGACGUAUAGGUAUUUCACUCAAGAGCCUCUUUAUCCAUUUGGAUAUGGAUUGUCAUACACAACAUUUCAUUAUUCUAAUUUGAAUAUAUCUUCUACAGCUACUGCUAGUGGGGCUGGUAUGAUUGCAGUGUCAGUCUUGGU
rnacentral:misc_RNA from 1 species